rnacentral:lncRNA from 1 species
AAACCAACCAUAGGCAGGAAGGACUGGAAAUCAUGUGUGAGAGCUUUCCUAUGCAAGUUCUGCCCCGUUCUGCAGAUUAAAGUAGCUACAGAACAGAUCUUCAGCUGGCUAAAGUAUGCUUAUCUUCCUUUCUUCGUGGGGAUGUUUGCCAUCUUGCCCCAUCUCUGGUUUAACCCUAUAAACGUCAAAAGGAUCGGCUUCUGUAGCUGCGCCAAGAAGUAUUUGAUGACCUUCCCAUCCUCGCAGGUUUCCCAGCAUGCAGUAGAAGACCAUCAGCUACAAAACUCUGCUUCCCAUGUAACGCGUUUUAUGUGUUUUGACUACUGCAAAACUGACAUCUUGCCUGGGGAUGGGGAAGUCAAGCUGAACAGGCAGAGGGCACGGGGGAACCAGCCUGGACAAGUGAUACAGAUGUGGCAAAUAUGGCCUGUGAGUACUGGACUGCAAAAAAAGGAUCGAGAAGCAUGCUUAUUCUCCUGUCUCCAGGCACAGCAGUGGGCAGGAGCCUGGGAUCCCUUAUUCUAAGGUUCGGUAGAGGUACGUAUCCCUUGAAGAAAUAAGGUUGCUGGCAGUGUAGCACGGGUUGGGCAGCAGGCAGGAGCGCUGCCAGAAUUCACCGUUCUGGUCCUCACCAUCGGUUCUGUCACAGUCCUUCGCCUGGUGUCAGUACUUCAUGAAAGAGGGCUCGUCCUCCUUCCCAGGGUGUCUACGAGAGCUAGGAGCAAAGACGCAACUCCCCAAACUUCAGGAACUUCAAUGAGAUCAAGGAACAGCCUGAACAGUAAAUCUAGCAAGUCCAAACAUCGUGGGUAUCUCACUACCAAGCCAUUCCCACAAGCCUAUCAGUUCACAUAACUUUUAAUUGCCACAGUACGAACAUCCUUCUACACAACUUAAUGAAUCAAGGAAUUUUUUUUUCCUCAUUUACAACUUUUAAAAGAUCAUUUAAUUUUGAAAAAGCUUGAUUUUUUUUAAAGUUCUGGCAAAUUAAGAAUAAAAUUGGUUACUGAAAGUCA